rnacentral:rRNA from 1 species
CUACGGGGCGCUCCAGUGGGGAAUAUUGCACAAUGGAGGAAACUCUGAUGCAGCAACGCCGCGUGGAGGAUGACACUUUUCGGAGCGUAAACUCCUUUUAUAUAGGAAGAUAAUGACGGUACUAUAUGAAUAAGCACCGGCUAACUCCGUGCCAGCAGCCGCGGUAAUACGGAGGGUGCAAGCGUUACUCGGAAUCACUGGGCGUAAAGAGCGUGUAGGCGGGUCAAUAAGUCAGAAGUGAAAUCCUAUGGCUCAACCAUAGAACUGCUUUUGAAACUGUUAACCUAGAGUGUGGGAGAGGUAGAUGGAAUUUCUGGUGUAGGGGUAAAAUCCGUAGAGACCAGAAGGAAUACCGAUUGCGAAGGCGAUCUACUGGAACAUAACUGACGCUGAGACGCGAAAGCGUGGGGAGCAAACAGGAUUAGAUACCCUUGUAGUC